GAACACAAUUUAUGUUUAUAGAUCCGUUUUUCAACACCGCACAUGAUGUCGCAAACUACCUUCGUCAGCAGUUCACGUUCUAAAUACACUUUCGAAGCGAUACAAGAUGGGAAACUGAAAAUAUCUACUUGAAAAGAUCGUUGAGACUCGGGGGAGUGUAAGCUACUAUAAAAGGAAAGGAGGUCAAGCAUCGCCGAUCCACGAUGUAAUACUCACGGUAUAGAUGUCGUCGAGGACACCCGUGGCCGCCACCACCCAGCCGGUGUUUAGGUUGCUGCUGUAGUACUCGAUAUUGUAGCCGAUGAUCUUGCUCUGACCCUCUUGGCCCGGGCUCCAGGUCAGAGUGAUCGAGUUACUGGUGGCGUUCACUAUUCGCGGCUUGCUCGGGUUCUGCGGCAGCGCCGACACGUCGGGCGUGCGAUGAAAACUGGCGCCGGAACUCACCGUCAGCAGGUAGGCCGACCACGAGGUGUUGCCGGAUUCGGACGAGGCGAUGCAGGUGUACAGCCCGGAAUCGUUGGUGUGCAGAUCGUCGAUGAACAACGUGCCGUUGAUGGCCAUCGUGAUCCGGCCGCCUUGACGUACGAGCACACCCUCCUUGUGCCAGUGAACCCUCGGCGUGGGUGUACCAACCGCGCGACAGGGCAACGAGGCGACGCUCUUCAACGGCAGGGUUUGAUUCGCCGGACCCAGCUCGAUUAUAGGCGGCGGUGUCUCUUCGGCGGACGUCACCUUUAUUACAACAGAUGUAGGGAACUGUGUAUUGGAAGAUGCGAAGAGACGAGAAUUCGAAAUAGGGAGGAAGUUACAAUCGUCCCGGUGUCCCUAUUCUGACGAGUCUGCUAUUCACUCCGAGGAAGCAUUUAACUACUUCUCCGUAAUCAAGAGUCAUCACGAUUCGCAGAAGAGAGAGAGGGAGAGGAAGAACGCGAGGAGCAUUUUAUAUCGUUCUAUGUGAUUUCUAU